rnacentral:rRNA from 1 species
AUUGAACGCUGGCGGCAGGCUUAAUACAUGCAAGUCGAGCGAGCGGCGGAGGGGUGAGGAAGGGCUGGGAAACUGCCUGAUGGAGGGGGAUAACUACUGGAAACGGGAGCAAAUACCGCAUACCAUCAGAUGAGUCCAGAUGGAGUUAGCUAGUAGGUGGGGUAAUGGCUCACCUAGGCGACGAGCCCUAGCUGGUCUGAGAGGAUGACCGGCCACACUGGAACUGAGACACGGUCCAGACUCCUACGGGAGGCAGCAGUGGGGAAUAUUGCACAAUGGGCGCAAGCCUGAUGCAGCCAGGCCGCAUGUAUGAAGAAGGCCCUAGGGUUGUAAAGUACGUUCAGUCGGGAGGCGUUACCGACAGAACAAGCACCGGCUAACUCCGUGCCAGCAGCCGCGGUAAUAC